rnacentral:rRNA from 1 species
AGUGAACGCUGGCGGUAGGCCUAACACAUGCAAGUCGAACGGCAGCACAGUAAGAGCUUGCUCUUACGGGUGGCGAGUGGCGGACGGGUGAGGAAUACAUCGGAAUCUACUUUUUCGUGGGGGAUAACGUAGGGAAACUUACGCUCAUACCGCAUACGACCUACGGGUGAAAGCAGGGGAUCUUCGGACCUUGCGCGAUUGAAUGAGCCGAUGUCGGAUUAGCUAGUUGGCGGGGUAAAGGCCCACCAAGGCGACGAUCCGUAGCUGGUCUGAGAGGAUGAUCAGCCACACUGGAACUGAGACACGGUCCAGACUCCUACGGGAGGCAGCAGUGGGGAAUAUUGGACAAUAGGCGCAAGCCUGAUCCAGCCAUACCGCGUGGGUGAAGAAGGCCUUCGGGUUGUAAAGCCCUUUUGUUGGGAAAGAAAAGCAGCAGGUUAAUACCCCGCUGUUCUGACGGUACCCAAAGAAGAAGCACCGGCUAACUUCGUG